CUGAAAAUGUGAAAAUCCAACCAUGUCUUUUAACCACGUAACGGAUUAUUCCUGUCCAAAGCUGUAUUGUCAACUCCAUCAUUGUGGUGCGCGACAGGAGAAACCACGUGAAGCCGCAGGCAAAAACUCCUAAAAUAAAGGUGGAACGGCGCGAGCGGGACGGUGAAUUCUAUGACACAUAUUUCUAUUUUCAUUGAAUACAUUUCAUGGUGCCCUUAAAUUUGCAAGUCGGCGAACAAAACAGGAAGGGCCGAAAUAGAAUGAAACGAAAUGGAAGGCCGCGGCGGUGAUCGAUUCACAAUACUAGUAAUGGAGCCAUCACUCACGACUCCACGUCAAGAUGGAUGGCGUUGCUUUGGAAUUGACUAUUUUACUACUGGCGGUGUGGCUCACAAUGUUUUAUAUUGUCUACCAUACAAAGGGUUUAUUUUUAUUUUUAAACUAGCCGUUCCCCCCAUU